rnacentral:ncRNA from 2 species
AGUAAUAAGUAAGCGCCAGGACUUCAUAAGAAGUUGACGAGGACAGGGUUAAUCGAAAUUAUCGGCGGGUGCCCUGCGGCUGACCAACGUUAAAAGCCUAACAAAGCUGAGAGUAAUUUCAGUACAAAAGGGUGUGGUCAUGGGU